GGACACUUUAUACAGGGCACAUGAGGGAGCAGACAAGAUGCACCUGGGGUGAUCCACACGAGGGCUGUAACAAGAGGUCUCCUGUCCUUGGUCCCAUCUCGUCCGUCGCUUCCCUUGAGGCGUGCCCAGAUUCUCCUACCAGCCCCGCCUAGGAGUGGAUGACGCCAUCAUCUACCUACUCAACCAAGUCUAGACCCACCUUGACAAGCCAGCGAGCACUGUGAGGAUCAUGUUUUUUGAUUUCUCCAGUGCGUUUGACACCAUCUGUCUGGCUCUGCUGGGCGAUAAACUAACAAGGAUGCAGGUGGAUGCCCCACUGGUAUCGUGGAUUGUGGAUUAUCUGACUGGCAGACCACAGUAUGUGUGCUUAAAGUGCUGUGUGUCGGACAGAGUGAUCAGCAACACCGGGGCACCGCAAGGAACUGUGCUCUCUCCUUUCCUUUUCACUCCCUACACCACGGACUUCAGCUGCUGCACAGAGACCUGCCACCUUCAGAAGCUUUCUGAUGACUCGGCAGUAGUUGGAUGCAUCACUGGUGGUGACAAGAGCGAACACAGAACUGUGGUGGACAAUUUUAUCACUUGGCGCAAGGAAAACCACCUUCAGCUCAAUGUGACAAAAACAGAGGAGUUGGUAGUAGACCUGAGAAGGACCAGAGUGCCAGUGACAGCGGUUAACAUACAGGGCGUCAGUGUGGACAGGGUGGAGGAGUACAAACACCUGGGAGUGUACUUGGACAAAAACUGGACUGGUCUAAACAUCUGGACAUCGUUUACAGGAAGGGCCAGAGCCGUCUCUGUUUUCUGAGACAGCUAAGGUCCUUCAAUAUCUGCUGGACUAUGCUGCGGAUGUUCUAUGAGUCUGUGGUGGUCAGUGCCAUCAUGUAUGCUGUUGCCUGCUGGGGCAGCAGCCUGAGGGUCAUGGAUUAACAGACUCAACAAGAUCAUUAAGAAGGCCAUCCAAGUUGUGGAAGUGGAACUGGACUCUAUGAAUAAGGUGUUGGAGAGGAGAACAUUGUCUAAAAUAAGGACAAUACUUGACUUUCCUUCACACCCGCUCCACUAUAUGCUGAGCAGCCACAGGAGCUCGUUCAGCAACAGGUUAAAACUUCCAUGCUGCACAACUGAGAGACACAGGAAAUCAUUCCUGCCGGUCGCAAUAAAACUGUUUAACUCACAUAUCUGAUCACUCAAACCACAAAACACAAACAUAAGCACAAUCACCUUAAAUAACCAUGUAUACAGUGUAUACGUUUCCUGUAAUA